rnacentral:lncRNA from 1 species
CAAAAACAAAACCCCAUAACAAUAUGAAGUAUGUGCCACAUCACUGCCAUGAAUAUCCUGUCCCAGUACCUCAUUUCUUUUCAUCCCUCAAAGUGAUGCUAUGAGGGUAAGUUCACUGAUGUUUCAGGGGUGUUCAGAUACUGUACUGACAGGGGCUGCAUAGGUGAACAGAGAGAGAGAGCAGAUGUACAUUUAUUAAUCUGGUAAAGGAUGGAUAUUUAACUCAGCAGUGCUCCCAAACAAAUGUCAAAGACUGUAUUAUCAGCAUGUCUCUUAUCUCUGGAAUUUUGUUUUGUACUGUGCUACUUUGCUUCUUGGUUUGUGAUUUGUUUUGCAGCUUCCCAGAAAAAGAGAACAUUAAAAACACGAUCAGCAAAAGCCUGGUAAAAGUUGUAACCAGCUCUGACUGUCCAUGGUAUGACAGCCAACAAAUAUCACCUGCUGAUGAUUUACAGAUUCCUGGGAGAUGUGGUGUUGAGUCUCAAAGAACUGGAACAAGAACAACUCACUCAACGUGCUUCUCAGGAAACAAUAUUCCAUGAGCUACGCUUUGGUCCUAUCAAGACAGGCAGGCAGCUGCAUGAGAGGUGGAAAGAGAGAAAAUGAUUGAGAUGAAAUCACCACCAACAACUAUUGCAGGCAGGAAGGCAGUUUUGGAUCCCAGCCACAAUACUUCUGCAACCUGGUUUGAAUGGGCCUGACGGGAUGCCAUAAUGGAACCUACACUGAACAAGGUACGCGGAAAGCUGUCUGACAUGGGCUCUAUUUCAAAGAAAAAAUACAGUUUCCAUCCAGGCU